GCACAAGCAAUUCACAUAACCAUCAAGUCUAAUGCUGCUUUAUGACAUUAGCUUACCAAGUCCAUACCUAGUCCAAGCCUAAUACCGCUUUAUGACAUUAGCUUACUGUUUGUAUACACUCUAACCUAUCUCACUUAAUGACGAUAUGUCCAACCAUGUCAAGCAUGCAUUCUAAGUCCAAGAGUGUAAUCUAUAUGCCAUAUGCACCAUAUGCAACAUGAUCUCAAUCAAAUGUAAGAAUGCUAAUCAUAGGCCCCUAGCCCAACAUGAAAACUCUCUACUAUAUAG
rnacentral:lncRNA from 1 species